rnacentral:rRNA from 1 species
ACCGAGUUUUCACUCCCAACCCUUUUGUGAACAUACCUAUCGUUGCUUCGGCGGACUCGCCCCAGCGUCCGGCCGGCCCCGCGCCGGCCGCGGCCUGGAUCCAGGCGGCCGCCGGAGACCCCCAAACUCUGUAUUCUCAGUAUCUUCUGAAUCCGCCGCAAGGCAAAACAAAUGAAUCAAAACUUUCAACAACGGAUCUCUUGGUUCUGGCAUCGAUGAAGAACGCAGCGAAAUGCGAUAAGUAAUGUGAAUUGCAGAAUUCAGUGAAUCAUCGAAUCUUUGAACGCACAUUGCGCCCGCCAGCAUUCUGGCGGGCAUGCCUGUUCGAGCGUCAUUUCAACCCUCGACUUCCCUUUGGGGAAAUCGGCGUUGGGGACCGGCCGUAUACCGCCGGCCCCGAAAUGAAGUGGCGGCCCGUCCGCGGCGACCUCUGCGUAGUAAUCCAACUCGCACCGGAACCCCGACGUGGCCACGCCGUAAAACCCCCGACUUCUGAACGUUGACCUCGGAUCAGGUAGGAAUACCCGCUGAACUUAAGCAUAUCAAUAAGCGGA